rnacentral:rRNA from 1 species
AGAGUUUGAUCAUGGCUCAGGACGAACGCUGGCGGCGUGCCUAACACAUGCAAGUCGAGCGGGGUUUAUUGGAUUAGCUUGCUAAACUGAUGGACCUAGCGGCGGACGGGUGAGUAACGCGUGAGCAACCUGCCUUGCACAGGGGGAUAACAACCGGAAACGGUUGCUAAUACCGCAUGAGACCCCACUAUCGCAUGAUAGAGAGGUUAAAGGGCUUACCGGUGCAAGAUGGGCUCGCGUCCCAUUAGCUAGUUGGUAGGGUAACGGCCUACCAAGGCGACGAUGGGUAGCCGACCUGAGAGGGUGAUCGGCCACACUGGGACUGAGACACGGCCCAGACUCCUACGGGAGGCAGCAGUGGGGAAUAUUGCGCAAUGGGGGGAACCCUGACGCAGCAACGCCGCGUGAGUGAAGAAGGUUUUCGGAUCGUAAAGCUCUGUCAUUGGGGACGAAGGAGUGACGGUACCCAAGGAGGAAGCCCCGGCUAACUACGUGCCAGCAGCCGCGGUAAUACGUAGGGGGCGAGCGUUGUCCGGAAUUACUGGGCGUAAAGGGUGCGUAGGCGGCCUCAGAAGUCAGGUGUGAAAUACCGUGGCUUAACCACGGGGGUGCAUUUGAAACUUUGAGGCUUGAGUGCAGGAGAGGAAAGUGGAAUUCCUAGUGUAGCGGUGAAAUGCGUAGAGAUUAGGAGGAACACCAGUGGCGAAGGCGACUUUCUGGACUGUAACUGACGCUGAUGCACGAAAGCGUGGGUAGCGAACAGGAUUAGAUACCCUGGUAGUCCACGCCGUAAACGAUGGAUACUAGGUGUAGGAGGUAUCGACCCCUUCUGUGCCGUAGUUAACGCAAUAAGUAUCCCGCCUGGGGAGUACGUGCGCAAGCAUGAAACUUAAAUGAAUUGACGA